UGAGUAACCUGCCCUUAACUCUGGGAUAAGCCUGGGAAACUGGGUCUAAUACCGGAUAUGACUCCUCAUCGCAUGGUGGGGGGUGGAAAGCUUUUUGUGGUUUUGGAUGGACUCGCGGCCUAUCAGCUUGUUGGUGAGGUAAUGGCUCACCAAGGCGACGGCGGGUAGCCGGCCUGAGAGGGUGACCGGCCACACUGGGACUGAGACACGGCCCAGACUCCUACGGGAGGCAG
rnacentral:rRNA from 1 species